rnacentral:lncRNA from 1 species
AAAGAAGAUAGAAAUCGAAACAAUUAAUGAAAAUAUGGAUGUUGGACCAUUAAGUGUAGAAUCGGUCCAAAUAAGGCAAGUGAGGUGUGCCUUGUAUCUCGUCAACUUGGGAAGGUAAUAGUGACGUCUUGGAAGCUUCUUAUGUACUUGGAGAUGAUGUAUCACACACAUGAACUUAAUAGGCAAGAGUCGUUGUGCCUUGAUGACAAUCGAGUCCAGAAAAGGCGAGUAAUAAUAUGAUUGAAUCCGCCUGAUCCAAUGGCUAUUAUUGUGUGUGAAUAUACUCCAAAUAUUCUCUGGUGGCUUUAGAGGUUCUCCUGGUUUCCAUAUGUAGCUUUGAGACACGUCCAUAUGAAGGUAAAGGAGAUUUUCCUUAUCUUGCUCCAAGUAGAUCAAUCGCCUUGAUUCAAAGGGUGGUUUAGACUUGGGUCUUCUCCUGGGCUGUUCUCCAUGGGCUGGGGCCUUUUGGUGAAUCAAAUGAAUGUGUGGACUCCCUUCAUGGUUGAUCCAAGUGUUAAAAGACUUCAAAUCCUCAAAGCUCGCAAUCUGAUGUAGUUCAGGUAGUCGGUCAGCGAGUAGUUCAGGAAGUCGGUCAGCGAGUAGUUCAGCAUGCUUGUCAGCAAGUAGUUCAGCAUGCUUGUCAGCGAGUAGUUCAGCAUGCUUGUCCGCGAGUAGAUCAGAAUGUACAUCAGCUAUCAUCUUUGAAUCAUAUGGAUGGUGAAUGAUUCCUUGAUGACUUUGUGUUGCCUCAUUAAAAACCUUUCUAGGUAAACCCAUUGGGACAAACCCUAGAUAAGGGAAAAAGAGUACAACAGUCAUAUCCCAAUAGUAAGGUGAUUUGACUUGCUGAUUUUUGAUCCCUCUUGAACUGUCGGACUUCUUAGGGUUAAUAUCAUGGUGAAUAAUUAACCCUUCACCUUGUACUUGAUCAGAACUCCACUUAGACAAAGAUUCUCCAAAAUUCUCCAUGUAGACCGGUUUGGUGUGCUCUUGGUCUGAUCUAGUUCUGAUGUCCGCAUCAUACCCUCUCUCUUGAAAAAGUUUCGACCUCGAAACUGUACAAUCUGCACCAAGAGAAAGUAAGUUAGCUUUCAUGCGAUUUUGAGAUUUCAAGGUCUUACCUUGGUGUUGUUCUGUCUUCAUGAUGCAUGGUGCAUCCGGUGGCUCUCCUUUGAGCAAGAAAGUAAAGAUCACUCCUCGGUUUUGAUCUAGUACAACGGUUGAUGGUGUAACGUGGUUAGCUCCUUCUUGGGUAUGUGCUUGAGUUUUGAAAUCUGGCGGUUCCUCUUUGAUUAAGAAUGAACUUGGGACUCUCCUAGUCUCCAUUAGGGAAGGUGUGACCACCAAUGGCGCUGGUUUACUCCGGUUCCGAUUUUGAUUCAAGCGUUUCUUCAUCUCCGGUGGUUCGCCUUUAUGAUCCUCAUUCGUACCUGCAAUGUUGUUUACACUUUUGGCAAAGAACAAGUGCAUUAAUACAGUCAUGGGAACAAUAUAAACAUGUAAAACAAGGACGAGUUGAACCAUUUCUCUUUUAUAAAGUUUAUCAAUAAGUAUGGCACAAAGUGUAUCAACUAAUCGAUAUGAUUUAAAACAAGAAAUUGAUUCUACAUGUUUAUUUAAAUAACCAACGUUUCUCUCAAACUUUCUAGACCUUAACAACAUUAUUAUCACAUCAUUCAAAUUAUUAGAAAUAACUCGAAGUAACGUGGGACUUACUUGACAUAGAUCUUUGUUGAAUAUAUCUUUCGAAAUAACCACGGUUGGUUGAUUCAAUGACUGGUCUGGUGAUUCUUCUUGCAGCAAGAUGUUGUAGGUGCUAACUUCAUCAUCUUUAUUAGCUGGUAAACACAUCUUAAGCUCUUGAACUGGAUGCAUGUUAUCACUCUUUGCUAGUUUCUCCGUUUGCUCCACAUUCAAUAUCCUGUGGGAUGUGGUCUCUCGCUCAUCAUGAUACUCUUUUAUGGUACCUGUAUCUUUCUUGACACUUAAGAAUAAAAUCAAGUGCAUUAUACUUGAAAUAAAAUCAUUUAAAACAAAGUCUUUGAAGCUACGAUUAAUUAUUAAAUUAUUCCAAUAUCGAACAAGAUCGUAGGUUUCACUUACUAGGAUAUCAUUUAAGGUGUUUGGUAUGAACUCAACCUUAAUGAGAGAGAUGUUUGAAGCAAGAUAAGAUGAUGUUGAACAUAGUUGGGCCUUCACACGUGCUUCAACAAAUGCUUGCUCACACGUCUCAUUUUUGCAAACUUGUGAUAACGUUGUUUCCGAAAGUUUCUCCUUAAGGCUUAUGUCAUUCUCAACUUCCUUAGGAGUUGCUACAUUAUGGUUUGCUUCUUCAGCCAUGUCAUUCAUGAUAUGGCACAGACCUGCAUCAAUAACCUUUGGCAAAGACAAGUGCAUUAAUCUAGAAUUGGAAAUUUCUAAACUUUAUUUCAUUAGACAAUCAUUUUAGUUAGAUGCAUUCAGUUUUAACUCUAUUGAUGUGAUACCUUCUACUUGUCUUUCAGGACAUAUUGCAGCAAAAUGACCUCUCUUAUGGCAUCUAUAACAUGUUGGUGCAUUUGAAUUUAAAUAGUUAGAGGACUUACCUUGCUCUUGUUUAUCUUGCGGCUUAAGUAAAGGUAUUGAAGCCGAAUCUUCCCUUUCACCUAUACCUUUCUCAUUCUUCUUGGAUGAAAGCAAGUGUAUCACGUGCUCAACUUGUUGAUAAAANNNNNNNNNNNNNNNNNNNNNNNNNNNNNNNNNNNNNNNNNNNNNNNNNNNNNNNNNNNNNNNNNNNNNNNNNNNNNNNNNNNNNNNNNNNNNNNNNNNNGCUUAGAAGUUGUGUCACUUACCUUGGCGGGUGAUAUAUCCGCGUUGUGUUUGGAACUAACACGUUGAUGUGUUGUGUUCUCUCGGCUUGGUUCCUUUGAGGGAUAAGUGUUUUGACCGGGAUGGGACAUCAUUUGAGGUGCAUAUCUCUCCCUCAUAAGCAGCUUUAUUUGUCCCCACGUUCUGAGUGAUGGCUCCUUGUACCAUACUCUAUCUUUUUCCUCUCGCUUCCACCAAUGUUUUGCACUUCCCAUGAAUUGUUCAAGACUGUAGGUGAGCCUCUCUUCUUUGGGAAUGGAAUAGUACCUAAAGUACUUGUCCAUGUUGAUUUCCCAUUGUAGAUAAUCUCUUUCAUGUCCUGCAAAUUCAAAACUUUCAGGUCCAAAAUACUCAUAACCAUUGUUUAGAGAUAACAUGUAAUUCGUCUUGUGGGUUCGGUUGGGAUUGGAUAGCAACGGGUCUCUUCUAGCACCAUAUUCUAGCUCGCCUCCUCUUAGUUUACUGGUCCUUGCAUCUCUCUCAGCUAGGGGAUCACGUCUACCACUUGAAUGUGGUUCAAAACGAAUUGAUGAUCGUUGACUCACUUCCUGUACUACUCGUGGGUUUGUACAGAAGUACUUGUCUCUUGGUUUUGUUUGACGUGAGGCUGUAGGGACUCGGUGUAAUAAGAGGUGAUGGUCGGUCUUCUCUUCACGCCUUGGAGGACGUCGAUACUGGUUGCCCUUUGUUGUUGCCUUUUUAUACUCCAUGUCUUCUUUUCGCUUAAGAUAAUCAUCUUUUCCUGAAAAAGACAUAAUUUGGGUCAGUGGGGAUUUUGAACCAUGGCUGGAAAAAUUUUCAUUAAAUUUAAUCCAUGGUUUAGAAUAGCCUUUAUUGCUGUUGUAUGAGUCAGGCGGUUCUGGUUCUGGUGCUUCAUGGCCUGGUUCAUCUCUUGAAUCAGAAGUUGAACUAUCAUCUCUUUGCCACGCGACUGUUCCAUAGUUGUCUUCCUCAUCUAACGUGACUUGAUAGGGAUCUUCUCCAUGAAUUUCUGCAUCUGAAUAAAGCUCAAUAGACUCCAUGUUUGCUCUGGUCUUCGUAAUUGAAAAAUCUUGCACAAGCAAAAGAAAGAUGUAUCAAAAAGUAAAUCAACAAAUAAGGAAAAUACUUCAAAAAAAUAGAAAUGAAUAUAUAUAUAUUUUUUUUAAAUAAAUCCGAAAAAUUCAAAUAACGAAAAGGAAAAAUUCAGCUUUUAUUUUAUUUUCUGGUUUUAUAAAAAUAAAAUACGAAAUUAAUAUAAAAUAACAAAAAUUAUGAUUUUUAUGGCUUUUCUUUUAAUAAAUCCGAAAUAAAUAAGAAAAUGAAGUAAAACAAUUUUUUUUUGAUAAAAUACUGAAGCAAAUAACAAGAUUAAUGCAAGGAAUAAAAAUUUAUUUGAUUAUUUAUAUAUAUAUAUAUAUAUAAAAUAAAAAUAAUAAGAAAAAAUAGAAAAACAAAUAUAGGUUGAAAAGAUACAACCUUGGGGAUAGGAGCUUUUGAAGCUCUGAUACCAGAUGAUGCAAGAUUGGAAUCACUCCAAAGUUUAGAUCACUUGAUGAUCAAGAGAUUCCAAGCUUAGCUUGCGGAAGGUGGAAUUCACGAGCUGGCCAGAAGCACUCUCUCGUGAAUCAGUGGGUGGUUCAGGGGAUAGUUCAGGUGAUUGACUCGCUCAAUCAGUGGGAUAAUCGACUCACUCGAUCAAUGGACGAAUGAAGGUUGUUGAAUCACACAACAAACUUAAUCCGCAGGUUUCUAAAGAACUAAGUGACUCACUCACAAAGAACUAAAGAAGAAGAUUGACAAAGACUCAAACUUUGACAAGAAGAAUACUUUUCUAUUACUUUAAAUUGAUCAAGGGUGUUUUUACAAUGAGACUAAUGAUCAGCUUAUAUAGGCUGAAUACACACGUUCUAAACCUAGAAAGAAGAUAGAAAUCGAAACAAUUAAUGAAAAUAUGGAUGUUGGACCAUUAAGUGUAGAAUCGGUCCAAAUAAGGCAAGUGAGGUGUGCCUUGUAUCUCGUCAACUUGGGAAGGUAAUAGUGACGUCUUGGAAGCUUCUUAUGUACUUGGAGAUGAUGUAUCACACACAUGAACUUAAUAGGCAAGAGUCGUUGUGCCUUGAUGACAAUCGAGUCCAGAAAAGGCGAGUAAUAAUAUGAUUGAAUCCGCCUGAUCCAAUGGCUAUUAUUGUGUGUGAAUAUACUCCAAAUAUUCUCUGGUGGCUUUAGAGGUUCUCCUGGUUUCCAUAUGUAGCUUUGAGACACGUCCAUAUGAAGGUAAAGGAGAUUUUCCUUAUCUUGCUCCAAGUAGAUCAAUCGCCUUGAUUCAAAGGGUGGUUUAGACUUGGGUCUUCUCUUGGGCUGUUCUCCAUGGGCUGGGGCCUUUUGGUGAAUCAAAUGAAUGU